GGCAACGCCUGCCCAGUGAAUAAUUUAACGGCCGCGGUACCCUAACCGUGCAAAGGUAGCGUAAUCAUUUGUCUAUUAAUUGUAGACCUGUAUGAAAGGCAUAAUGAGGGUUUAACUGUCUCUUUUAGUAAAUCAAUUAAACUGAUCUCCUAGUCCAAAAGCUAGGAUACCAACAUAAGACCAGAAGACCCUGUGAAACUUUAACUAAAAUAUUAAAGCCUAUAAUAACUACUUUAGGUUGGGGCGACCUUGGAAAAUAAAAAAACUUCCAUACACAUAUUAUACAAUAAUAUAUCACCGGCCGACAAGCCUACAACGACCCAGCACAGCUGAUAAUUGAACCAAGCUACUCCAGGGAUAACAGCGCUAUCUUCUUCAAGAGCCCAUAUCAAAAAGAAGGUUUACGACCUCGAUGUUGGAUCAGGACAUCCUAAUGGUGCAACCGCUAUUAAGGGUUCGUUUGUUCAACGAUUAAUAGUCCUACGUGAUCUG
rnacentral:rRNA from 1 species